rnacentral:lncRNA from 1 species
AAAGAACAAAGAAUAAGAGACUGGAAAGAUUAUACAAUUUUUCGAGCUAUCAAAAGACUUUAUGUUUACAAUGAUCACAAAUCAUCAAAUCAAAAUGCCAAACUUCUUUAGUGUUUUCUUAUUUCCCGAAUACGCAGAACUCAUGUUUACAAUUAUCACAAAUCAUCAAAUCAAAAUGCAGGAACAAACUUGUUUGUGUGAAAAAGAAAGAAACAAUAAAAUCACCGUGUUCUUCUUCACCAAAUUCUUCCUCUUCCGUUAGGCAGAUCCGUGCACAGUGUGUUAAGACGAUACACAUAUUAGAAAACAAAUACGAUGUAUUACAGAGACUGAGGAAGCUAGACAUAAAGGAGAGGAGCACCUCCAGCCACGGCGUCUCCUCUUAUGUCUCUCUCCCCCUCUUUGACAUGCCAUUUAGCCCCUGCCUAUCAACAACCAUCGGUCCCUGGAGAUAUGCUUGCUAUCUUGCUUGUGGACACAUCCAUCCGUAUUCUUCUUGCACACUGCCACUGGGAGAGUUGACAGGGUCGUAAGAGGAGGGGCUAUUGUAUUUCACAAAAACUUACCUGUUCCACUCAGGCACUCAGACCAUACAACAUUGUCAGAAAAUCAUUAAGUGGUAUAAAACUGCUAUGGUACUACAUACUGUUAUGUUGCACCGGUAGCUAUAUAGAUUGAAAAGUGGCACGCCUAGGGAUGGCUCUAGCGAUAUAAUUUCUACUGCAAAAUUAAUGACACAAUAAUCCUAGUUUUUAUGUGAAAAUUAAUGAUGACACACAAGCAGCUCAAAAUUGAUAGGGUUCCUACAAGUACGUGAGUUAUUUAGUUCCAACUCCCACAUGAGGUAUAUCUACUUUAAAUCAAAACAUAGAUGAUAGGAAAGACAAAUGCAAUGUAAGCAGAAAUCAAUCACAUCACUGUAGCCCACAAAUCAUUUUUUUUAUCUCUAGAAGGAAAUGUUAGCAGCACCUCCAGAAUCAUUAUUAAGUACAUAGUAACAGACUAAUGAUGUUUGGAGCAGCUAAUAGAUACAGUAAGUAUGGCCUUCAGUGAUAGAGCAAAAACUUUUCUGAAUAAUAGAUGUAUAUUUGCAUAUGGUGCAUCUGAUGAAACAAAAGUACAACCAAACAGUAAUCUUGAAAUAACAAUCUGCAAGCUCUGAAAAUUAGAAAUGAAAAUGAAAAUUAUUGGGGCAGGCAAGAUUCUACUACAUGUACGACUGCUACGAACUAGAUUGGGGACUGAAGCAAAUGAAAAUUAUUGGGGCAGGCAAGUAUGGCUACAUAGUAGUACAUACCCAUGUAACAUACCUGAUGACAGAAUGAUUAGUAGUAGAGCUCGAGGACGCUGGUUGUGGUUGCCUCCCGCUUGCCGGUCACGUUGUUAGCCACUCGGGUCCCUUCAACACCACCAUCCGGAGAACCCAGAUCCAUCAGACAUUAGUCCAAUUGGGAGCUCGAGGGGCACCUGAGCGAGCAGAUUGGGGUCUGUCCCGACUGAUUUAGCGGCAUGCAACUGAAUAUGGAAGGAUGGAUCUGGGGACGAGGAGGACGGAUCCGAGGAGGCCGUGCUCGAGGAAGCUGUCAACCAUGACGGCGGCACAUCUCACCAGCGGGGCACACCAGGCCGCCCCAAUCGCCCAGCGACCACCCCAGUGUCGACACCACGCCGCCGAGCAGCACGGCGCUCCGCGAGCAAAAUCUCGCCGUGCCAAAUCACGGAGCACGCCGCCGCCGUAUCCCCGCAUGUUGUUCGCCGUCGAUAAUCUCGAACCGUUGGCAACCUUUUUUUAACUCAAGAAAAG